rnacentral:rRNA from 1 species
AUUGAACGCUGGCGGAAUGCUUUACACAUGCAAGUCGAGCGGCAGCGCGGGGCAACCUGGCGGCGAGCGGCGAACGGGUGAGUAAUACAUCGGAACAUACCCAGUCGUGGGGGAUAACACUUCGAAAGAAGUGCUAAUACCGCAUACGUCCUGAGGGAGAAAGCGGGGGAUCUUCGGACCUCGCGCGAUUGGAGUGGCCGAUGUCAGAUUAGCUAGUUGGUGGGGUAAAGGCCUACCAAGGCGACGAUCUGUAGCUGGUCUGAGAGGACGACCAGCCACACUGGGACUGAGACACGGCCCAGACUCCUACGGGAGGCAGCAGUGGGGAAUUUUGGACAAUGGGGGCAACCCUGAUCCAGCCAUUCCGCGUGAGUGAAGAAGGCCUUCGGGUUGUAAAGCUCUUUCGGCAGGAACGAAACGGCGCGCUCUAACAUAGCGCGUUAAUGACGGUACC